rnacentral:rRNA from 1 species
UGGGGAAUUUUGGACAAUGGGGGAAACCCUGAUCCAGCCAUCCCGCGUAUGCGAUGAAGGCCUUCGGGUUGUAAAGCACUUUUGGCAGGAAAGAAACGUCGCGGGUUAAUACCCCGCGAAACUGACGGUACCUGCAGAAUAAGCACCGGCUAACUACGUGCCAGCAGCCGCGGUAAUACGUAGGGUGCAAGCGUUAAUCGGAAUUACUGGGCGUAAAGCGUGCGCAGGCGGUUCGGAAAGAAAGAUGUGAAAUCCCAGAGCUUAACUUUGGAACUGCAUUUUUAACUACCGGGCUAGAGUGUGUCAGAGGGAGGUGGAAUUCCGCGUGUAGCAGUGAAAUGCGUAGAUAUGCGGAGGAACACCGAUGGCGAAGGCAGCCUCCUGGGAUAACACUGACGCUCAUGCACGAAAGCGUGGGGAGCAAACAGGAUUAGAUACCCUGGUAGUCCACGCCCUAAACGAUGUCAACUAGCUGUUGGGGCCUUCGGGCCUUGGUAGCGCAGCUAACGCGUGAAGUUGACCGCCUGGGGAGUACGGUCGCAAGAUUAAAACUCAAAUGAAUUGACGGGGUCAUAGCUGUUUCCU